rnacentral:rRNA from 1 species
GACGAACGCUGGCGGCGUGCCUAACACAUGCAAGUCGAGCGAAUGAAGUUCCUUCGGGAACGGAUUUAGCGGCGGACGGGUGAGUAACACGUGGGCAACCUGCCUCAUAGAGGGGAAUAGCCUUCCGAAAGGGAGAUUAAUACCGCAUAAGAUUGUAGUACCGCAUGGUACAGCAAUUAAAGGAGCAAUCCGCUAUAAGAUGGGCCCGCGGCGCAUUAGCUAGUUGGUGAGGUAACGGCUCACCAAGGCGACGAUGCGUAGCCGACCUGAGAGGGUGAUCGGCCACAUUGGGACUGAGACACGGCCCAGACUCCUACGGGAGGCAGCAGUGGGGAAUAUUGCUCAAUGGGGGAAACCCUGAUGCAGCAACGCCGCGUGAGUGACGACGGCCUUCGGGUUGUAAAGCUCUGUCUUCAGGGACGAUAAUGACGGUACCUGAGGAGGAAGCCACGGCUAACUACGUGCCAGCCGCCGCGGUAACAC